rnacentral:rRNA from 1 species
UUGAACGCUGGCGGCAGGCCUAACACAUGCAAGUCGAACGGUAACAGAACUAGCUUACUAGUUGCUGACGAGUGGCGGACGGGUGAGUAAUACUUAGGGAUCUGCCUCUGUGUGGGGGAUAACUAUUGGAAACGAUAGCUAAUACCGCAUAACGUCUCCGGACCAAAGAGGGCUUUUAGCUCUCGCGCAGAGAGGAACCUAAGCGAGAUUAGCUUGUUGGUGAGGUAAAGGCUCACCAAGGCGACGAUCUCUAGCUGUUCUGAGAGGAUGAUCAGCCACACUGGGACUGAGACACGGCCCAGACUCCUACGGGAGGCAGCAGUGGGGAAUAUUGG